ACGUUGAAAGGGUGGAUAAUACGGGGUGUUCUGUCUGUGCCGCAUGGUGUGGCUGGGAAAGAUUCACUUUUGUGGUGUUUUGGUGGGGGAUGGACUCGCGGGCUAUCAGCUUGUUGGUGGGGUGAUGGGCUGCCAAGGCUUUGACGGGUAGCCGGCCUGAGAGGGUGGGCGGUCACACUGGGACUGAGAUACGGGCCAGACUCCUGCGGGAGGCAGCAGCGGGGGGUAUUGCACAAUGGGCGGAAGCCUGAUGCAGCGACGUCGCGUGACGGAUGGAGGC
rnacentral:rRNA from 1 species